UGCCUACGGGAGGCAGCAGUGGGGGAUAUUGCACAAUGGGGGGAACCCUGAUGCAGCGACGCCGCGCGGGUGAAAAAGCGCCUCGGCGCGUAAAGCCCUGUCAGCAGGGAAGAAAAUGACGGUACCUGAAGAAGAAGCCCCGGCUACCUACGUGCCAGCAGCCGCGGUAAUACGUAGGGGGCAAGCGUUAUCCGGAUUUACUGGGUGUAAAGGGGGCGCAGACGGCGAUGCAAGCCAGGAGUGACAGCCCGGGGCCCAACCCCGGGACUGAUCUUGGUACUGCGUGGCUGGAG
rnacentral:rRNA from 1 species